UGGGAGGAUUACCUGUCCGAUUCGGAUUAGCAUUAGAGGUCGCAGUGCAAAUAUUUAUCAAAAAGAAGGAUAGCCUCUCUCCACUCACGCUCCAGCUCGCCACCGUCUUCUUCGUCAUGUCGCGCGUGUAGAACAAACGCCUGCUUUGCCUCCUAGUCUUGCUCGUACAACCUCCUCACUCCCCCUCCACUCACGCUCCUUCAUCUCCUCCAUCACUACCGCCUGAAGAACCCCAGCGUCCCCGACGCGCGUCGCAUCCUGUCGAUCGCCUCCUUCCUCUUUGGCCGGGUCCGCCGAGGUCGAUGAUCGGGAAGCUGAGAUUCUCAGAUCCGCCGCUCGAUUCGGAGCUGCCUGCCUUCGGAUGUCUCCUGCGGUCGGAUGACGAAAUUCUAGGGAUUUCGGUGAUCCCGGCGUCGACGAGGCCUUUGACGCCGGCUUUCGAGUCGUCGCCCGCUCUGUCGUAGCUUUCUGCUCGCCGGAGUCGGAGGCCAAAUCGAUGGUAGGCAUUGUUCCUCUCUCUCUCUCUCUCUCUCUCUCUCUCUCUCUCUCUCUCUCUCUACUGCAAUUCAAUUUUCACUGUGAAUGUGUAAUAAGUUUGGAUUAUGAAUCGAAUGUUAUGGAGACAUUUGGAUUAUGAUUUGAGUGUUAUGGAAACAGUACAAUGUUAAUGCAUGAUAUGAGCAUCUUCUUUA